GAUGAAGAACGUAGCGAAAUGCGAUAAGUAAUGUGAAUUGCAGAAUUCAGUGAAUCAUCGAAUCUUUGAACGCACAUUGCGCCCCCUGGUAUUCCGGGGGGCAUGCCUGUCCGAGCGUCAUUACAACCCUCAAGCUCAGCUUGGUAUUGGGCCCCGCCGACCCGGCGGGCCCUAAAGUCAGUGGCGGUGCCGUCCGGCUCCGAGCGUAGUAAUUCUUCUCGCUCUGGAGGUCCGGUCGUGUGCUCGCCAGCAACCCCCAAUUUUUUUCAGGUUGACCUCGGAUCAGGUAGGGAUACCCGGUGAACUUAAGCAUAUCAAUAAGCGGAGGA
rnacentral:misc_RNA from 1 species